CAGACACGUCUUUUACAACAACGCAUCUUUAUAUAAAAAUGAAAUCUAAUGUCUCAAACGUUGUGAUUUUUAUCGUGAUAAAACAAAAUGGAUCGUACGUAAUUCGAUAAAAUAAUAUAAAACGAAACAUGUUGUGCAUCCAUUAUUUCCUUAUAAAACGAAACAAAUUGACCUAAUAUUUCAAUUUUACUACAAUACAAUAACGACUUCAUAUCUUGAAAAUUGUCACUGUUACGCUGCUGAUUUGUAUAUAGAUAUUAUAUAUCAAAGUGUAUAAAAUAUCAUAAGUAAUGCUACAGAUAUUUGGCAAAAAAUGGAGGCUAUAUCUGCAAUCGCCACUGAAAGUUGUGUAACUGGUACGCACAUACUUCUGCAAGCGGCUAAUAUAAUUCGAAGGAUCUGUAGAAUACCCAAGUUCGCCCAGUCUUCGUUUAUAUAUUGCAUGUAAAUGGAAGAUGAGAAUUAGGUUUGGUCUAUUAAAUAGAUGGUCUGUUAAAUGAUUAUAUGAAAGCUAUGAACAAUGAUCCAUUAGAGAUGCACGCAGAUAUGACU